AUAAAACGCUGGCGGCGUGCCUAACACAUGCAAGUCGAACGAAGCUCCCGGACUUGAGUUUUCGGACAAGGGAAAGGGAUGACUUAGUGGCGGACGGGUGAGUAAUGCGUGAGCAACCUGCCUUUCAGAGGGGGACAACAGUUGGAAACGACUGCUAAUACCGCAUAAUGUAUUCGAGUGGCAUCACUUGGAUACCAAAGAUUUUAUCGCUGAAAGAUGGGCUCACGUCUGAUUAGCUAGUUGGUGAGGUAAUGGCUCACCAAGGCUGCGAUCAGUACCGCGGACUGAGAGGUCGAACGGCCACAUUGGGACUGAGAUACGGCCCAGACUCCUACGGGAGGCAGCAGUGGGGAAUAGUUGGGCAAUGGGCGCAAGCCUGACCCAGCAACGCCGCGUGAAGGAAGAAGGCUUUCGGGUUGUAAACUUCUUUUGGCAGGGACGAAACAAUGACGGUACCUGCAGAAUAAGCUCCGGCUAACUACGUGCCAGCAGCCGCGGU
rnacentral:rRNA from 1 species